GUCAGUAGCUGCACAUCGAGCUGAACGCAUCAGCAGCUGCAGCCACUCUGACCUGGUAACGUCUUUUGGAAUCAGUUUUUCAGGUCGGUUAUUGGGAGAUCUGAUUACCUGUUGACCAAUGGCGUGGUGGCUGUGGCUGUUGGUGCAGUUGGUGGUGUGGUGCUGUGCUGGCUUGGUGGCAGUGUUGUGGUGGAAGUGGGCCACCAAGCCCCACAUCGACGCUCCAGGGCCGCCAACACUGCCGCUAAUUGGGAACAUUCUGGACUUCCUCGAAAUGCCACUGACCCUUCAUAAGAUAUUCGACCUCCACCGCCAGUAUGGGGACUUGACGAGCCGUUCGCAGUACCAGCACAGCUAGGCCGUUUUGGUUAAUGUUGCAAGGCCAGAUCAGUCAAUCAUCCAGACUGUUGCCCCUGCAACUACUGAAAAGGCUGCUGCCCCUCUUCAGGAACCACAUGUUUGUCUGGCCUCUCAACAGAUACUCCUCCGUUGUGGUUGCACCUACGGUACGGCCAUCUGUAUCGCUGAGGCACGCAAGCCUCCCCACCAACGGCAAGGUCCAUGGUUCAUGGGGAAGAGUAGACACAUAUCACAAAUAAAUUUUGAUUCAUUAUGUUUUGCGAUUCGAGCUGAAAAAAGUCAAGGAAAAAUGUUUAAUUCUGAGUUUCUAUUGUUUUUAAAAUGUGAUAAAUGUACAUGUUUUUCUUUCUUGCUUUCUGUAA